rnacentral:rRNA from 1 species
GACGAACGCUGGCGGCGUGCUUAACACAUGCAAGUCGAACGGAAAGGCCCUGCUUGCAGGGUGCUCGAGUGGCGAACGGGUGAGUAACACGUGGGUGAUCUGCCCCUUAUUUUGGGAUAAGCCUGGGAAACUGGGUCUAAUACUGGAUAGGACCAUGCUGUAGGUGGUGUGGUGGAAAGAUUAGUUUCGGUAAGGGAUGAGCUCGCGGCCUAUCAGCUUGUUGGUGGGGUAAUGGCCUACCAAGGCGUCGACGGGUAGCCGGCCUGAGAGGGUGGACGGCCACAUUGGGGCUGAGAUACGGCCCAGACUCCUACGGGAGGCAGCAGUGGGGAAUAUUGCACAAUGGGCGCAAGCCUGAUGCAGCGACGCCGCGUGGGGGAUGACGGCCUUCGGGUUGUAAACUCCUUUCAGCCAUGACGAAGCCCUUGUGGUGACGGUAGUGGUAGAAGAAGCACCGGCUAACUACGUG